GCUGGGUAUGUUGUCUCACCUGUAGUCCCAACUACAUAGGAGGCUGAGGCACAUGGAUUGCUUAAACCCAGGAGUUUGAGGGCAGUCUGGGCAACAUUGUGAGCCUCUGUCUCAA
rnacentral:sRNA from 1 species